CCUGGCUCACUGGGCUUUUCUGGCUCCUAAGGCUACCUUGUUACUUAGGUUUGAUGGGAGAAGUUCUACUUGAUGGUGAAAAUCAGGUGAAAUUAUCGUUGUAUUCCGUUUUUCUGGCUAUAGAUGUGGCUGUGACGUGCUGUCUGCCAGCAUUAUGCAUCGAGUUACAUCUCUUCCCAGUUCCACAUCCCGUGGAUAACUCAAGCGCCAGCCAGCCGUUAAAAUCAUUUCUUCCAAAUGAGGGUGGUGGGACCUGACAUGUGGAUGUUUCCUGUUUCCAAAUCCAAGAAAUGAAGGUAACUGACUCCAGGCUAAAAGAGAAUCAUCCUCAUCUGUGGCAAUCACUUAGCAGUGUCUCUAGCUGUGGCUCUGCAGUGCGUCUGACAACUCAGCUUAUCAGCAAGGGUCUAUUACUCAAGAACGAGGUUAAUGACCUUGCAGGAGUCAGGAAGAAGCAAGAGACACUUCAGGGAGCUCAGAAUACAAAGCCUGAGGAUGAGAAGAGCAUAAUAAGAGAGCCGCACCCAGCUCAAAGGUGGAGACAUCAUGACAAGGUGAUCUCAGGAGCAAACACGGGGAUUCUGCACUCACUGCGAGCAGCGUGGGGAUCUCAUUCUGAGCCCUAACUCCUUCCAAGAAGUAGAUAAUUGAAUACAUCUCAGUUUGGAGUCAUGGAUUUAUUUUUUCUUAUUCCAGUUAAGAAAAUCAUUGGAUUUUUAACAUUUUGGGCCCGAAGUCUCACUCUGAAAAUCUGAUGAAAAAUCAUGAUCAUGCCACCAAAAAAAAUGCACAUAAUCAUACUCUAGCAAAAUUUUGCUUGUAAUUUCAGGUGUAUAUAAUCUCAAAGCUUUCCUUCCUACUAGUUAGGGACCUCCACUUUAUAGGACUAAUAAAAGCAGGUAACUCUAUUCUAGGGACUUACUCUGCGACACUCUUUGACAUAGAUCAUCUAAUUGAAUCCUCAUCACAAUGACAUAAUGUGGGAAUCUAUAUCUCUAUUAUCUAGAAGAAGCAAAGUACAAAAAAAUUCAGUCAUCUAGAAAGCGAGGGUGACUGUUAAGAAGUAUGAGGCAGAGACAUUAUUGGUCUGCUUGGCACCCCUGUGGCCCCCGCUCCUUUUUAUAGCUUCAUGGAGUUAUAGACAGCUAGAGAUCAGUUCUGUCCAAUGACUUGAGAGCAAAUCAGAGUGUGUCAUUUCUGGACCACAGUUAGAAUCAGUUUGUGACCCACUAAUUUCCUCCCCUACCCUGCUGACCCUGGAAGCUACUUGUUGAGAUGGAGGACAGGUUUGCUGCUAAGAAAUGCAAAUCCUAAUUGCCAAUGAUGUAAAACCACAAGUUUGUUUCUCACUCACUCUACCUGUACAAAAAAAAGGAUGGUAGGGACCAUGCCCAUUGUAGUUACUCAAGUCCCCAGGCUGAUGGUGGUCCAUUGCGGCUCAAGUGCCCAUGAUUUCUGACAUGGAAAAUAAAAUGUUGGAUUAUACACUCUACAAUUCAACAAUUCUAGGUCUGCCUCUCAGAAGUGAUAAACAUUACAUUCCCUCUCAUUUCAUUGGCAAAGAUAUUCACUUGCUACUCUGAUGGCUAGUAUUCAGUUAAACACCAAACUACAUGGCUGUGAAGUUACUUUGUAUGUUUGAUUCAUAUGUAUAAUCAGUUGACUUUAGCUAAAGGCAGUUAUGCCUGAUCAUCUGGGUGGGUAGGCUCAGUGUAAUCAGUGACAAGCCUUAAGAGCCAAACUGGGGUUUCCCUGAGAAAGAAGGAAUUCCGCCUCAAGAUUAGGGCCUGAGCUCUUGCCAAAGAGUUCAUAGCUUGCCCACCUGCUCUACAAAUUUUGGACUUAAAAACCCCUACAAUGAUGUAAGCCAAUCCCUUGAAAUAAAUAAAUACAUAUAAAUGUAAGUAGAUAUCCUAAGGGUUCUAUUUCUCUGGAGAAUCCUAACCGAUACAGCCACACUAAACUUCAGUAGGGCAUAUCUACUGGGCCUGGAAGUAGAAAAUCUCUGAUCAGCUCUAAGGAACACCAGAAUGUCUGAGUCAUUAUCUUCCAGAAACUACUUGAGUUGCAUUGGGUUCUGUGUGAAAGAAAAAUAAGUUUACGAUAAAACAAGGCUGAAUUAUUUUUAUUUUUUGUUUAAUUUUUUAAAAAAUUGUAUUGAUAUUUCUUUGAAGGGCAUACAAUUAAAAAAUAAUCACUGGGUUUGUUUUUAAGAAGUAAAUACAUCCAUGUAACCAGUAUACAGAUUGAGAAAGUAAAUGUAGCCAAUACCCUCAAGAAAUCACCUUCCAUUCUAUUAAGCUGCUGGAUUUUUAAGCUGAAUUUUUCUUCACACAUGUCUUAGCCUAUCUUAUCUAAUGUACAAUCCAAAUUGAACUUAAUGUAGUUUAUUUGUUUUCAAAGCCAACAAAAUUUUUCCCACCAGGAGUACACUAGGGUAAGUUCCCAAUAGAACACAUAUAUACGUAACAUAUUAUUGUUGUUGCUAAUUAACAUUUAUCAAAUAUUUAGAUGCCAG
ensembl:lncRNA